GACGAACGCUGGCGGCGUGCCUAAUACAUGCAAGUCGAGCGCUGACGGUUGGUACUUGUACCAAUUGGAUGAGCAGCGGACGGGUGAGUAACGCGUGGGGAAUCUGCCUUUGAGCGGGGGACAACAUCUGGAAACGAAUGCUAAUACCGCAUAAAAACUUUAAACACAAGUUUCAAGUGUGAAAGAUGCAAUUGCAUCACUCAAAGAUGAUCCCGCGUUUUAUUAGGUAGUUGGUGAGGUAAAGGCCCACCAAGGCGAAGAUACAUAGCCGACCUGAAAGGGUGGUCGGCCACAAUGGGAAUGGAGCAACGCCCAAGAUCCUACGGGGGGGAACAAGAGGGGAACUUCGGCCAAGGGGGGAAAGCUGGCCGAAGAACGCCGGGUGGGUGGAGGAAGUUUUCCGGUCGUAAAACUCUGUUGGUAGGGAAAGACGUUAGGUAGAGUUAAAAGCUCAUCAAGUGACGGUAACUACCCAGAAAGGGACGGCUAACUACGUG
rnacentral:rRNA from 1 species